rnacentral:misc_RNA from 1 species
CAGGACUCGCAAGACUCCUUAACCCUGUGAACUUACUAUAAAGCGCGUUGCUUCGGCGGGUGCCCCGGGUCUCCCGAGGCGCUAAGCCCGCCGGCAGCCUACAAAUUCUGUUUCUUUGCGUUGGCAUCUCGAGUAAAACAAAUAAGUUA